rnacentral:rRNA from 1 species
AUGUCGUCAUCGUGGGUGGUGGAUGUCGACUGCCCUGAGCCGCAGGAGAACGUGGAGGGAUGGGUGAUGGACAUGGAGAAGAAGCUCGAGGACGCGGAGCCGCCGGCGAAGGUGCUGAGAUGGCCGAAGCACUGCAUCUUCCGCGUGCCAAUGCGCUUCAAGAUGAAGACGGUUGAUGGCAUCGCGAGCAGCGUAUUCAAGCCGCAGACAGUGUCUCUCGGCCCAUUCCACCACGAUGACAAGGAGCUGAAACCCAUGGAGGAGCACAAGCUGAGAGCCGCCCGUCAUCUCCUCGGUCGGGAGCAUGCUGGUCGGGCCAGCAAGCUGACCCUUGGCGGGCUCGUCGCUGCCGUGGAGAAGGUGGCCGACGAGCUGGAGGAUGCCUACAUGGACCUGGACGACGAGUGGCGGGGUGAGAACAGGGGCAAAUUCCUUGAGAUGAUGAUCACGGACGGCUGCUUCCUGCUGGAGGUGAUGAGGACUGCCGCAGGGAAGGAGUCCAUUCCCAAGGACUACGCUCAUGGCGACCCUAUCUUCAGCUGGUAUGGCGUCCAGCACAUCAAGCCCUUCAUCCAGCGUGACAUGCUCAUGAUCGAGAAUCAGCUGCCACUGAGGUUGCUUGAGACGAUCAUCGCCGUGGAGGAUGGCACAUGUCCGAGCGCGGCUUCGAUAAACUCCAUGGUGCUCAAGUUCCUCGAAAGGGAAGAUGCCCCGGAAGGGACCGGCCUGGGACUCCACCCUCUUGACAUCUACCGGACGAGCCGACUCAAGGGCACAAGUCGGAUCAAGAGUAACAGAAAGGUUCUUCAUAGAGGCAUGCCGACGACACCGACAGCAAAGGAGGCCGGCGUCGUCCGCCCGGAGAGAGUGGUGCCCCGAUCCGCGUGGAAGCUGUCGGAGGCAGGAAUCCAGUUCCUGCCCAGCAAGACGAGCUGCCUCGACGACAUAGAGCUACACAACGGGAGGCUCUACAUGCCCAAGGUCGAGAUGGACGACUCCACCGCCUACAGGAUCCACAACAUGAUGGCGUUCGAGGCGAUGCACGUCGGCACUGGCGAUGACGUGACGGCG